CCCUUAGAUGUUCUGGGCCGCACGCGCGCUACACUGACGAAGUCAGCGAGCAUGUCCUACGCCGACAGGUGCGGGGAAUCUUGUCAAACUUCGUCGUGAUGGGGAUUGAUUAUUGAAAUUCUUGAUCAUCAACGAGGAAUUCCUAGUAAGCGCAAGUCAGCAGCUUGCGUUGAUUACGUCCCUGCCCUUUGUACACACCGCCCGUCGCUACUACCGAUUGAAUGGUUUAGUGAGAUCUUCGGAUUGGCGCCACUGCGGCUCAGCAAUGGGCACGGUGGAUGCCGAAAAGUUGAUCAAACUUGAUCAUUUAGAGGAAGUAAAAGUCGUAACA
rnacentral:rRNA from 1 species